ACGAACGCUGGCGGCGUGCCUAAUACAUGCCAGUAGAACGCUGAAGGAGGAGCUUGCUUCUCUGGAUGAGUUGCGAACGGGUGAGUAACGCGUAGGUAACCUGCCUGGUAGCGGGGGAUAACUAUUGGAAACGAUAGCUAAUACCGCAUAAGAGUAGAUGUUGCAUGACAUUUACUUAAAAGGUGCAAUUGCAUCACUACCAGAUGGACCUGCGUUGUAUUAGCUAGUUGGUGAGGUAACGGCUCACCAAGGCAACGAUACAUAGCCGACCUGAGAGGGUGAUCGGCCACACUGGGACUGAGACACGGCCCAGACUCCUACGGGAGGCAGCAGUAGGGAAUCUUCGGCAAUGGACGGAAGUCUGACCGAGCAACGCCGCGUGAGUGAAGAAGGUUUUCGGAUCGUAAAGCUCUGUUGUAAGAGAAGAACGAGUGUGAGAGUGGAAAGUUCACACUGUGACGGUAUCUUACCAGAAAGGGACGGCUAACUACGUG
rnacentral:rRNA from 1 species